rnacentral:rRNA from 1 species
GAUGAACGCUAGCUACAGGCUUAACACAUGCAAGUCGUGGGGCAGCGGAUACUUAGCUUGCUAAGUAUGCCGGCGACCGGCGCACGGGUGAGUAACGCGUACCGAACCUGCCCAUCACACAGGGAUAGGCUUGCGAAAGCAAGAUUAAUACCUGAUGGUCUCAGUUGUAUGCAUGUAUGAUUGAGUAAAGCCUUCGGGCGGUGAUGGAUGGCGGUGCGUCCCAUUAGGAAGUUGGCGGGGUAACGGCCCACCAAUCCUUCGAUGGGUAGGGGUUCUGAGAGGAAGGUCCCCCACAUUGGAACUGAGAUACGGUCCAAACUCCUACGGGAGGCAGCAGUGAGGAAUAUUGGUCAAUGGGCGAGAGCCUGAACCAGCCAAGUAGCGUGCGGGAUGAAGGCCCUUGUGGUCGUAAACCGCUUUUAUCAGUGAAUAAAGUGCACCACGUGUGGUGUCAUUGCAGGUAGCUGAAGAAAAAGGACCGGCUAAUUCCGUGCCAGCAGCCGCGGUAAUACGGAAGGUCCGGGCGUUAUCCGGAAUUAUUGGGUUUAAAGGGAGCGCAGGCGGGAGUGUAAGUCAGCUGUUAAAUAUCAGGGCCCAACUCUGUUAUGCAGUUGAAACUAUAUUUCUUGAGUACGCACAGGGAUGGCGGAAUUCAGGGUGUAGCGGUGAAAUGCUUAGAUAUCCUGAAGAACUCCGAUCGCGAAGGCAGCCAUCCGGAGCGUAACUGACGCUGAGGCUCGAAGGUGCGGGUAUCGAACAGG